GUCGCAAUAGCUCAGUUGGGAGAGCGUCAGACUGAAGAAAGCAGUACAUAAGAUUAGUCCAUCUGAAGGUCGUGUGUUCGAUUCACACUUGCGACA
rnacentral:tRNA from 1 species